rnacentral:rRNA from 1 species
UUCUACAGCCAUACCACCCUGAAUGUGCCCAAUCUCACCUGAUCCUGAAAGCUAAGGAGGGUUGGGCCUGGUUAGUACUUGGAUGGGAGACAAGAGGAUCUUGCCUUCAUAGGGC